CAAUAGCGUAUAUUAAAGUUGUUGCGGUAAAAAAGCUCGUAGUUGGAUUUCUGUUGAGAGCGACCGGUCCAUACCAUGUAUGCGUAUCUGGCUUGCUCUCGGCAUCCUCUCGAUAGACGUUACUGCGCCUGAUUGCGUGGUGCGGAUCUCGGGACUUUUACUUUGAGGAAAUUAGAGUGUUCACGGCAGGCUUUCGCCAGAAUACAUUAGCAUGGAAUAAUACUAUAGGAUCUUGGUUCUAUUUUGUUGGUUUCUAGAAUUGAGAUAAUGAUUAAUAGGGACAAUUGGGGGCAUUCGUAUCAACACGUCAGAGGUGGAAUUCUUGGAUUGUGUUGCGACGAACUACUGCGAAAGCAUUUGCCAAGGAUGUUUUCAUUGA
rnacentral:rRNA from 1 species